AGAGUUUGAUCAUGGCUCAGGACGAACGUUGGCGGCGCGCCUAAUACAUGCAAGUCGAGCGAGAACCGGGGCUUCGGCCCCGGGGAGAGCGGCGAACGGGUGCGUAUCACGUGAGCAACCUGCCUCGGAGACCGGAAUAACUCGAGGAAACUCGGGCUAAUGCCGGAUGCCCUCGGUGGACCGCAUGGCCCGGCGAGGAAAUGGAUUCCGCUCCGAGAUGGGCUCGCGGCCUAUCAGCUUGUUGGUGGGGUAACGGCCUACCAAGGCGACGACGGGUAGCUGGUCUGAGAGGACGAUCAGCCACACUGGGACUGAGACACGGCCCAGACUCCUACGGGAGGCAGCAGUAGGGAAUCUUGCGCAAUGGGGGAAACCCUGACGCAGCGACGCCGCGUGCGGGAUGAAGGCCUUCGGGUCGUAAACCGCUUUCAGCAGGGACGAAAUUGACGGUACCUGCAGAAGAAGGCCCGGCCAACUACGUGCCAGCAGCCGCGGUGAUACGUAGGGGUCUAGCGUUGUCCGGAAUUAUUGGGCGUAAAGAGCUCGUAGGCGGUUCGGCAAGUCGGAUGUGAAAUCUCCACGCUUAACGUGGAGGGGCCAUUCGAAACUGCCGUGACUCGAGUCCGGUAGGGGAGUGCGGAAUUCCCGGUGUAGCGGUGAAAUGCGCAGAUAUCGGGAGGAACACCAGUGGCGAAGGCGGCACUCUGGGCCGGAACUGACGCUGAGGAGCGAAAGCGUGGGGAGCGAACAGGAUUAGAUACCCUAGUAGUCC
rnacentral:rRNA from 1 species